rnacentral:rRNA from 1 species
UACGAAGGGGGCAAGCGUUGUUCGGAAUUACUGGGCGUAAAGGGCGCGUAGGCGGCCUGUUAAGUCAGACGUGAAAUCCCUCGGCUCAACCGGGGAACUGCGUCUGAUACUGGCGGGCUUGAAUUCGGGAGAGGGAUGUGGAAUUCCAGGUGUAGCGGUGAAAUGCGUAGAUAUCUGGAGGAACACCGGUGGCGAAGGCGGCAUCCUGGACCGACAUUGACGCUGAGGCGCGAAAGCCAGGGGAGCAAACGGG